rnacentral:rRNA from 1 species
GUCCUAGCCCUAAACGAUGUAUGCUUGGUGUCUGGAGUAUUAAUUCUCUGGGUGCCGCCGCUAACGCUUUUUAGCAUACCGCCUGGGGAGUACGCACGCAAGUGUGAAACUCAAAGGAAUUGACGGGGACCCCGCACAAGCGGUGGAGCAUGUGGUUUAAUUCGACGCAACGCGAAGAACCUUACCUGGACUAGAAUGUGAGGGAAUGUCGCCUAAUAGCGACAGUUUGAGCAAUCAAACCCGAAACAAGGUGCUGCAUGGCUGUCGU